GACGAACCGUGCGAACGUUAUUCGGAAUCACUGGGCUUAAAGCGCGUGUAGGCGGGCCGCCGCGUCGGCUGCUGAAAUCCCCGGCUCAACCGGGGAACGGGCACCGAUACGGGCGGCCUCGAGGGGGGUAGGGGGCCUGGAACUUCCGGGUGGAGCGGUGAAAUGCGUUGAGAUCGGAAGGAACGCCCGUGGCGAAAGCGAGGCCCUGGACCCUUACUGACGCUGAGACGGCGAAAG
rnacentral:rRNA from 1 species